AGCGCAGGCGGGUUGGCAAGUCCUUGGUGAAAUCCUGAGGCUUAACCUCAGGACUGCCAAUGAUACUGCCGAUCUUGAGUGCAGAAGAGGAAGACGGAAUUCCUGGUGUAGCGGUGAAAUGCGUAGAUAUCAGGAAGAACACCGGUGGCGAAGGCGGUCUUCUGGUCUGUAACUGACGCCCAUGCUCGAAAGCGUGGGGAGCAAACAGGAUUAGAUACCCUGGUAGUCCACGCCCUAAACGAUGGAUACUCGAUGUCGGGUCGCAAGGCCCGGUGUCCAAGCUAACGCGUUAAGUAUCCCACCUGGGGAGUACGAUCGCAAGGUUGAA
rnacentral:rRNA from 1 species